UACGUAGGGGGCUAGCGUUGUCCGGAAUCAUUGGGCGUAAAGAGCGUGUAGGCGGCUCGGUAAGUCCGCUCUGAAAGCCCGGGGCUCAACCCCGGGAGGCGGGCGGAUACUGUCGGGCUAGAGUACGGAAGAGGCGAGUGGAAUUCCUGGUGUAGCGGUGAAAUGCGCAGAUAUCAGGAAGAACACCCGUGGCUAAGGCGGCUCUCUAGUACGGUACUGACGCUGAGACGCGAAAGCGUGGGGAGCGAACAGG
rnacentral:rRNA from 1 species